rnacentral:misc_RNA from 1 species
AACAAGGCGUACCUGCGGACCUGCGGAGGGAUCAUUACCGAGUUUACAACUCCCAAACCCCUGUGAACAUACCUAUACGUUGCCUCGGCGGAUCAGCCCGCGCCCUGUAAAAAGGGACGGCCCGCCCGAGGACCCUAAACUCUGUUUUUAGUGGAACUUCUGAGUAAAACAAACAAAUAAAUCAAAACUUUCAGCAACGGAUCU